GGGUCAAAUGAUGAUGAAUAAACUGCACCAAUAUGAUGGAGCAAUGCUCCUGUGAUUCUUACUAUUUAAGUCCCUGAUAAUACC